ACAGCAGUAGCCGCGGUAAUACGGAGGGUGCAAGCGUUAAUCGGAAUUACUGGGCGUAAAGCGCACGCAGGCGGUCUGACAAGUCAGAUGUGAAAUCCCCGGGCUUAACCUGGGAACUGCAUUUGAAACUGUCAGGCUGGAGUCUUGUAGAGGGGGGUGGAAUUCCAGGUGUAGCGGUGAAAUGCGUAGAGAUCUGGAGGAAUACCGGUGGCGAAGGCGGCCCCCUGGACAAAGACUGACGCUCAGGUGCGAAAGCGUGGGGAGCAAACAGGAUUAGAUACCCGGGUAGUCCCUGUCUCUUAUAU
rnacentral:rRNA from 1 species